rnacentral:rRNA from 1 species
AAUCUUGCGCAAUGGGCGAAAGCCUGACGCAGCCAUGCCGCGUGAAUGAUGAAUGACUAAGGAUUGUAAAAUACUUUCACCGGGGACGAUAAUGACGGUCCCCGGAGAAGACGCCCCGGCUAACUCCGUGCCAGCAGCCGCGGUAACACGAAGGGGGCUAGCGUUGCGCGGAAUUACUGGGCGUAAAGGGCGCGUAGGCGGACAUUUAAGUCAGGGGUGAAAUCCCAGAGCUAAACUCUGGAACUGCCUUUGAUACUGAGUGUCUUGAGUGUGAGAGAGGUAUGUGGAACUCCGAGUGUAGAGGUGAAAUUCGUAGAUAUUCGGAAGAACACCAGUGGCGAAGGCGACAUACUGGCUCAUUACUGACGCUGAGGCGCGAAAGCGUGGGGAGCAAACAG